UCCACUGUGUGGUUUGCCUUGAGUUGUGUA
rnacentral:piRNA from 1 species